rnacentral:miRNA from 1 species
AGAAGGGAAGAUGGUGAC